UUAUUCCCCCUUAGUAAAUAUUUUCACUUUCUCUAAUUUAUGUAUUUGACUGUUUUAUUGUUGGCAGUUUUCACUUUUCAGUACGUGAUCGUUACUCUCAAACGCACUUAAUCGAAAAAUGUCAAGUGACAAGUUUAUGGGCGUCUAUUUUUGUCGAUUGAAUCUUCGGAUACCCUUAGAAUACUUCGGCUCACGAGAGGGGCAGACGGGAAGGGGGUGCCGGGGCUUGCACAACUCCAAAUAUUUUCUUUAAUUGUACUUGUAGCUUUUAGGUUAAUUUAAGAAAGUUAUAUAAAAUUGGCCCAUGUAAAGCCUGGAUGAAUUUUUUCCUUUAAGAAAGUAUAGACGUGUCAAUAGAAUUUUUUGUCGCACUUGUAAAAUAAAAUGAUGGCUACGUAUAUAUGUACAACCUUUGACAUAUCAAGUAGCGAUAUAUUAAUAUGAAAUAUAAUUUUUGUCAUCACUGUAGAAAAAUCGGUAGUUCGGGCCCCCACUAUGUACAAAUCAUGGGCAUGAAAAUUACCAAAAAGGUGGGAAAAUAUAGAAGGGGAAGAAGAUGAUGAAAAAUGAUUGGCAUUUUUGGAGUUUAUGUUGAUUGUGUUUUUUUAUUGUCCAAGGGAUGCUGUGUUUCACAUAAUUAAAAA